CGUGGUGCUUAAGCAUAUCAAUAAUCGGAGGAAAAGAAACCAACAGGGAUUGCCCCAGUAACGGCGAGUGAAGCGGCAACAGCUCAAAUUUGAAAUCUGGCCCCCGGGUCCGAGUUGUAAUUUGUAGAGGAUGCUUUUGGCGAGGUGCCUUCCGAGUUCCCUGGAACGGGACGCCAUAGAGGGUGAGAGCCCCGUCUGGUCGGACACCGAGCCUCUGUAAAGCUCCUUCGACGAGUCGAGUAGUUUGGGAAUGCUGCUCAAAAUGGGAGGUAUAUGUCUUCUAAAGCUAAAUAUUGGCCAGAGACCGAUAGCGCACAAGUAGAGUGAUCGAAAGAUGAAAAGCACUUUGAAAAGAGGGUUAAAAAGUACGUGAAAUUGUUGAAAGGGAAGCGCCUAUGACCAGACUUGGGCCCGGUGAAUCACCCAGCGUUCUCGCUGGUGCACUUCGCCGGGCACAGGCCAGCAUCAGUUUGGCGCGGGGGAGAAAGGCUUCGGGAAUGUGGCUCCCCCGGGAGUGUUAUAGCCCGUUGCGCAAUACCCUGCGCUGGACUGAGGUACGCGCAUUCGCAAGGAUGCUGGCGUAAUGGUCAUCAGCGACCCGUCUUGAAACACGGACCAAGGAGUCGUCUUCGUAUGCGAGUGUUCGGGUGUCAAACCCCUACGCGUAAUGAAAGUGAACGCAGGUGAGAGCUUCGGCGCAUCAUCGACCGAUCCUGAUGUUCUCGGAUGGAUUUGAGUAAGAGCAUACGGGGCCGGACCCGAAAGAAGGUGAACUAUGCCUGUAUAGGGUGAAGCCAGAGGAAACUCUGGUGGAGGCUCGCAGCGGUUCUGACGUGCGAAUCGAUCGUCAAAUAUGGGCAUGGGGGCGAAAGACUAAUCGAA
rnacentral:rRNA from 1 species